AGAGGUAUAGCUCAGUGGUAGAGUGCUUGCCUAGCAUGCAUGAGGCCCUAGGUUCAAUCUUGUAGCACUG
rnacentral:tRNA from 1 species